rnacentral:rRNA from 1 species
AAUAUUGGACAAUGGGCGAAAGCCUGAUCCAGCCAUGCCGCGCGUGUGAAGAAGGUCUUCGGAUUGUAAAGCACUUUAUGUUGGGAGGAAGGGCAGUAAGCUAAUACCUUCCUGUUUUGACGUUACCGACAGAAUAAGCACCGGCUAACUUCGUGCCAGCAUCCGCGGUAAUACGGAGGGUGCAAGCGUUAAUCGGAAUUACUGGGGGUAAAGCGUGCGUAGGUGGUUAAGUAAGAAGGAAGGGAAAUGCCCGGGCUUAACCUGGGAACUGCGUUAAUAACUGGUGAGCUAGAGUACGGUAGAGGGUAGUGGAAGUUCCUGUGUAGCGGUGAAAUGCGUAGAUAUAGGAAGGAACACCAGUGGCGAAGGGGACCACCUGGGCUAAUACUGACACUGAGGUGCGAAAGCGUGGGGAGCAAACAGG